UCCCUGGUGUCUCAGAUAGUAAAGCGUCUGCCUGCAAUGCAGGAGACCCAGGUUCAAUCCCUGGGUCGGGAA
rnacentral:tRNA from 1 species